CCCGUACUGUCAUUGUUCGAGAUUCGUGGAGUAAAAUCAUUGCUGCUGCUGCGGCUGCCACUAUAUUUUAAGUGCUGCCAACACCUUCCAUUUCCAUUAACUGUUCUCUUGCAGGGAGUACCAUUGCAGGUAGGUACUCUACAAAUGGGUGUACUACAAUUGUUGCUGAUGCUGUUCAGCUCUUAUGAGCUUUUGUUCAACCCUUAUUUGUUUCUAUUUAGUAUUUAUGUACUUUUGUGCAGUCUUUGGGUUUCUGAAUACGAUGUACUUAUAUCCAUAAGCCGUUCCCUGAUUUGGUAAGAUUUGAUAAGUGACAUAUGAAACUAAUGUUUGAAGACUUAAUGUUAUUAUUGCUGCUGAUCUGAUAUAAGUGUAUUCAUCGAUCGAAGUUGUAAUGAGUAAUAAACUCAAGUGUGAUAUGUUGAUAAAAUAAGGUUACCAAUAUUGAAUUUAUAUGAAAUAUGUUCAAGUAUGCUAACAAGUGUUGUUGUUGAUGUUUAGAUAAGUGCCAAGUUACUGGUUAAUUGGUAAUAUGUUUAUUUAUAUGAUAUGUUGAAAGGGUAAAUGCUCAAAUGAAAAUGUACUUGUGCUCAUGAAAGAGUGAUAAGUUUUAAGUUACGCAAUUUCUUAUGAAAUGAGUUAUCAUGUGAUUAAUUCGAAAAAGGUCUAUGCUUAAAUGCACUAGUUUAUAGCUAUGGUUGAAUGAUAUGCUUAUGACUGGUGUGUGAUGCAUAUGGAAUAAGUGUGGAAAGUAAAGAAAUGCAAAUGAAAAUAAAGAAAUUUUGAAGAGUCAAAGUUAUUUAAAUCCUACUAAAUUUGGGAUAAUAUGUAUAAGUGAUGUUGUGGAUUUAUCCACCUUGUGAGUGAAUGAAUAUAACUUCAUGAGUAUUGCAAUAUUAAUUUUAAAUUAUUUUUGAUAUGUAUAAAUUUCAUAUUUGAAAUGAAUUGAUAUGAUUAAAGAUUACACGAACUUACUAAGUAUUCAUUGCUUAUGUGUUUAUUUUAUCUACCUUAGAGAUUAUCAGAAGCUCAAUCGAGUUAGAAGCUUGACGGAGUUAUAUCACACUAUCCAUCAAUAUUAUUAGUAAUUUUGGAUUAUUUGAUUCUAGUUAUAAUGGCAUAUAUAGGUUAUCUUGGCCAAUGUUGGCUUAUAAAUGCUCUGUUGCAUUUAGCCAUUGAGAUGGCUAGUGAUGGACAUAUUUUGAGGUGCAUAUAGUAUAAUGUAGGAUGUGAGUGUCUGGUAUGGUUGAAUGAUGAUAAUCUUAUAGGUAUGUUAAUACUUAGUACAAAUAGACAUAUAAGUGAUUUCGGUCAAUUUGAUAAGUUUGAAUACUAGAACAUAUGUGAUGAUAAUACAUACAUAAAACUUGGUUUUAGCUUGAUUUGAAUGCUAUGAUAUAGGCUGUUUAUGUGUAAAAGUGUUGAGUUAGGUUGAUGACAAAUGGGGUGAGAAAUGUGGCUUGGAAAAUAGCAUAUUUUCAUCCACACAGGCAGAGACACGGGAGUGUGUCUCAGUCGUGUGUGACAUAAGGCUUGGCCACACGGGCGUGUGUCCCCUGCAUCUUGACGAAAUUUUAAUAUUUUUCGAAAUUUUUUCUAAGUUUCCGAUUUAAUACCGAUUUGUUUCUAAUGCUCAAUUUGGGCCUCGAGGGCUCGUUUAAGUGAUAAUAUGUAUAAUCUUGAUUGGUUCUUGACAUAAAUGACAUAUGAUAUGAAAUGUUUACAUUUUCUGUUUGUUUGAUUUAUAAAUUUCGAUAAUGCUCCGUAAUCUUGUUCCGGCAACAAAUUCAAGUUAGGGGUGUUAUAGGCUUUCUUCGGGCCAGUACCCUUACCGAUUUCGAGUUAAUUGGUCUAGUUCAAGUUUUUAUGAAUUUUUUUUAUAAUUUUUAUAAGUUUAUAUCAAUUUUAAUUUUUUUCAUAAUUUUUUACAAUUUUUUAUUAUUUUUAAGUAAUAUAUUUUUAAUUUAAAUAUUGUAAAUAAUUUUUAUUACUUUUAUAAUUUUUAUAAUUUAUUAGAAUUUAUUAUAUUUUUAUAAUAUUUAUAAGUUUUUAUAAUUUUUUUAAUAAAUUUAAUAACUUUACAUCAAUUUUAAUAUUUAAUAUUUUUUAUAAUUUGUUUUGAUUUUUUUCUGAUUUUAUCUUAUAUUUUUUUCUGAUUUUUAAUAUUUUUUAUGAAAAAAUAUUAUAUUAAACUAGAAACUAUCACAUACCACCAUCUAAUUGGUUUGUUAAUUUAUUUUAACGGUCAAUGUAAUCAAUGAUGAAACUUAAAUUGAUUGAUUAUUUCAGUUAACAUCAAGAACUUAAUUAGAUACGAAUUUAAUACAUGGACUUAACUAAUCUUUUUGUAUUUUCUUAAAGGGUUUUUUGACAUAUAAGCCUAUUAUAUAUAUUAUAUUAUAUUAUAAAUUGUGACAUAAUUGUGUCCCGUCUAAAAUUAUCAUUUUUUUAUAGAAUAAUCAAUAUAUAUACCAUGAAAAUUAGUUAAUUAACUCUAUAUUACAAAAAUACCUUCCUCAAUAUUCCAUUACAAAUACUAAGCUUCACUUCACUAUAAAUACAAUAACUUUAUUUUUGUAAUUUGCACAUAAUAUUCACAACAAUCACACAUCCAAACACAACAACAACAUCUAGAUUAUCCUCACAAGACAAUAAUACAAAAGCUACAACAUAAUCCAACAGCAGCCUCCAAGUGAAUACAUAAUCAUGUUAUUCUUAAGUUAAUCCUUCGGCUCCGGCACUCACUGGAACAUAAAAAACGGUGACUCUUGAUCGAUCAAUACUCGGGCUAACCUGCCUCGAUCUAUCAGUGCUGCCAACACGUUCCAUUUCCCUUGACUGUUCUCCGGCAGAACGAACCAUUGCGGGUUGGUGCUCCACAAAUGGAUGUACCCGUACUGUCAUAGUUCGAGAUUCGCGGAAUAAAAUAAUUGCUGCUGCUGUGGCUGCCACUAUAUUUUAAGUGCUGCCUACACCUUCCAUUUCCAUUAACUGUUCUCUUGCAGGGAGUACCAUUGCAGGUAAGUACUCCACAGAUGGGUGUACUACAAUUGUUGCUGUUGAGACUUGAAUUCGAGUCUUUUUCAUCAGAAUAUGGAUUGAAAAUAGCAUAUGGCAUUGUUUCAUAACUUGUUAUCUCGGAACCGGAGCUAUAAAUUCUCCUCCCUUUAUGCAAAUCACAUCUUUUUCUCCCGGAAACGGGUUGCCUUCUACAAAGAGAACCAUCAUCCAUGGCAACACCACAAAUAGGACUGCAAUGCUCGAUUUCGGGAUAAUCCUCUUUAUGCGGUUGUGAUUUCAUACUCGAACUCGUGGAAGCCCCUGUAGUUUUCUUUCCCUUGUGUUCAGCGCAUCGUUUUCUUCCUUCAACCGGUGGCCUUUUACAAAUCGAACCAUCGUCUAAAACCACCCCACAAGAGAAGGUUUCGUUCUUGUCGGAGCCACCGUGAUUCGAAACUAACCGAGGCCGGGAUCUGCUGAAGUUGAAAACUUGAGGCAGAAAGUUGAGGUUCUCUCCAUUUUUGUAUUUGCCGAACUCACUGUCGUCCGAAACUAGCUUGCUUGCUUUGAUUUUGAUGCCUACUUGCUUUUGAUUUAAUUUCUUAGGAUUUGAUGCAUGCUUAUUUAGUUUUUGAAGGAUAUCAUCAUAACGACGUAUACCGUUCGAGCCUUUAUUCCAUGGAUAAUCAUAAGUACCGAGAAGCUGAGCUUCGGUUCUCAGAGCAUCUGCCUUGUUUUCCCUCUAUUUAACAUGGGAAAGUAAAAUAACAUUAGGAAUUAGAUCAAAAACCAAAAUUUGGAUACAAGGAUGAACAUGUAAUAAGAACAUUGAUGAAAAGUGCAUUUUCAAAGCUUCUUGGCCUUCAAAAAUCAUAUCAUCUGCAAUUCAUGCAAGACUAAGAACUUAUAGCAGUAUAAAGAAUAUAUAUAUAUACACACACACAUACACUCUUGUCCAACACACGAUAUAAAAAUAUGACCUCUAAAAAUUCUUUAAAUACAUGAAAAAAACUUAAAAAAAGACUUAUCAUAUUCGUGAGGGAUACAUAUCCAUAUCCAACACUCACACUUAAGUCUGAAUAACUUAAGUUCUUGGUACACAUUUUUUCCUAUGAUCCUUAUCAUUUUUACCUCCAAAGCAUAAAAAUCAUAGUUGUAACAACGGAUCAAAUCCUAUUUUUUAUUUAAUUUAUAACUAAUUUUAAUUUUUUAUGAUAAAAAAAUAUUUUAUAUUUAAAUAAUAGAAUAAUUUAAAAAUUUUAUAAACAUUAUGUAAGUGUUUUUGAUUAUUUUUAUUUACUUAAUUUAAAAGGUUAUUUAUGAAAUAUAUUUUUUUUGAAAUUCUAUCAAAUAAUGUCUAAAUGCAAUAAAACAAAGCUUGCCAAAAUAAAUCCAAAAAAUCAAAAUAAAAAAUCAAAUCUAUGAUGGUUAUUUAAAAAAUUUAAGAAAAAACUCGCUAAAUCCAACUCGAUACUACAUAGAGAUGUAUAUACAUAGUUUUUGAAACUGGUCAAACUUGAUCUAAGUUCGAUUUAAUAAAUUAUUAUAAAAAUUUAAAAAAAUUAAAAAAUAUAAAAUCAAUUCAAUCCUCAAUUCAACUGAUUUUUAAACCUCUUUUUCCGAACUACUAUAUCAACGGAUUUUCAAUCUUACCGGGUAAUCCUGUACAGUUCCAAAAACGGACACCAAUAAAGUUGGAAAGUAGAAAAACAUAUACUCACAGGAACCCAUCUGUAGACAAUAGAGCAACCUCUUGCAAAAAUAUCAAACAAAGGACAUCCUUCAUCUUUUCUACAGAGAUGAGUACCAUCACGGCCAUAUUGUUGGAGUCUUGCUCUAAUAUUUUCAGCCGCCCCAACAUAAACCACCAAAUCAGGUUCAAGCUUGCCAUGGCGGUCCCUACUCGGCAGUUUACACACCGCAAGCUCAUAGGUUCCUGGACCUGAACUUUUCGGAAGAUUUUCAGACCUGUAUCUGGUCACCGCUCCUCCUUUCCCAUUUUCCCAGUCAUGAGGACAAAUAAGAAGCUAAACAAAUUAAAAAACCAAAAAGACCAAGACCAGGUUAAGGUUUAUAAAUCAAAUUUAAACUGGGUAUAGAUGAUUUUUUCAGCAAAAUCAAAAGCAAGAUUAAAGUUGGAUUAAGGCAGAUUAAAAAACCUUCCAUUUGGAGAAGUCGGAAUCGUGGUCGGUCUUCUUGUGAUCUUCUCUUUUCAAUCUGUCGACGUGAACGGCCAAUAAUUCUAUUGGAAUCUCUUCUUCUUCGACUAUAAGCACCAUUAUGCAAUUGUCUGUGACUGCACCACUUUGUGGAAGGGCAUUUCUUAUUUAUAAUAAGGUUGAAAUUGCCUUAUUUCUUUUUAAUUUUAUUUAUUUUUUACUUUAGACUUAAUUCCUUUUAUUUUAUUAUUUUAAUACUUAAAUUUUAAAAUUUUCAAAAUAAAAAUUCACGUAAUUCUCAUAACAAAUUAAAAUUUAAUAAAAAUAUUAAAAAUUUUUAAAAAAAUUAAAAAAUUCAUCCAUAUUAUCAAUGAAAUAUGUAUAAAUUAUCAUAACAAUGUCAUUAUUUUUAACAACUAUAUAUUUAAAUUAAAACAGUUUAACUAAAUUUUAUAGAUUAAAUGACAAUAAAAAACUUUAAAACCUAAAUUUAACAUCUUACCUUUAUUUUUUGUCCAUGCCUUCAUCUUUUACCAGUGAAAUAUCUGAAUCCUUAAUACUUAAGUUACAAGUAGUAUGCAAACAGCCACAUCAUUAAAGUGAUAAAAUUAUUUGUACGUUGAUGAUAUGAUAGAUCUAAGACUCGUGUCAUGAUGUGAUUCAAUCGAGUGAAUUUUAGUGUCCUUCGUAAGCUGCCCUCUUGUAGCCUUGUGAGUUUUUUACCUAAAUAAUUUAAAAUAUAUAUAUAUUGAAAUAGAUUGUCAUUUAAAUUAUAUAUGAAAAUUAUAUAUAUUUUUUGUGCUUAUCUGAACCACAUUUUUAUGUUAAAGUAUAUUUUUUUAAAUUAUUAUUUUAUUAGUGACGCCUUUCUCAUAAGCGCCACUGCUUAUAUCUUUUUUCUUGGUUAAUAUAUGACUCAUAUAGAGAUAUGAAAAUGGUAUGAGAUAGAUGGCGCCUAUUGGUAAACGCGACUGAUUGAACAAAAUAAAUAUAAAAUUAUUUUUAAAAAAAAUUUACAUUACUAAAAACUCACAAAAUACAACAAUUUAUAAUAAAUUAUUAACAAAAUAUUUAACAAAAUAAUUUUACAUUACUAAAAACUCACUAAAUACUAAACUAAACACAACAGUUUAUAAUAUAAUCCUAAAUUACUAAUAAAUUAAUUUUAAAAUAAUUACAAACACAAUAAUUUAUAAUAUAAUCCUAAAUUACUAACAAAUUAAUUUUAAAAUAAUUAUUAAAAAAUACAUUCACACAAAAUAUUAACAUAAAACCAUAAACACUAAACAUAAACAAUUUAUGAAUAAUAAUUAAUAACAAAAAAAUAUAUUUUUGUGCGGGGGAGAGGGGCGCAGGGGGAGGCAGUGGCACUCACAAGACAAUAAUACAAAAGCUACAACAUAAUCCAACAGCAGCCUCUCCAAGUGAAUACAUAAUCAUGUUAUUGUUAAGUUAAUCCUUUGGCUCCGGCACUCACCGAAACAUAAAAAAUGGUGACUCUCGAUCAAUCAAUGCUCGGGCCAACCUGCCUCGACCUAUCAGUGCUGCCAACACCUUCCAUUUCCCUUGACUGUUCUCCGGCAGGACGAACCAUUGCGGGUUGGUGCUCCACAAAUGGAUGUACCCGUACUGUCAUUGUUCGAGUUUCGCGGAGUAAAAUCGUUGCUGCUGCUGCGGCUGCCACUAUAUUUUAAGUGCUGCCAACACCUUCCAUUUCCAUUAACUGUUCUCUUGCAGGGAGUACCAUUGCAGGUAGGUACUCCACAAAUGGGUGUACUACAAUUGUUGCUAUUGAGACUUGAAUUCGAGUCGAAAACAUGGGAUGGACUCGUUUCGUCUAAUCCAGAAACAAGAGUGGUAAUCUUCAUCCCUGUAUGAUUUUCAUCAAAAACUGAAGCUUUUUCAUCAGAAUAUGAAUUGAAAACCGCAUAUGGCAUUGUUUGAUAUCUUGUUAUCUCGGAAUCGGAGCUAUAAAUUCUCCUCCCUUUAUGCAAAUCACAUCUUUUUCUCCCGGAAACGGGUUGCCUUCUACAAAGAGAACCAUCAUCCAUGGCAACCCCACAAAUAGGACUACAAUGCUCGAUUUCGGGAUAGUCCUCUUUAUGCGGUUGUGAUUUCGUACUCGACCUCGUGGAAGACCCUCUAGUUUUCUUUCCCUUGUGUUCAGCGCAUCGUUUUCUUCCUUCAACCGGUGGCCUUUUACAAAUCGAACCAUCGUCUAAAACCACCCCACAAGAGAAGGUUUCGUUCUCGUCGGAGCCACCAUGAUUCGAAACCAACCGAGGCCGGGAUCUGCUGAAGUUGAAAACUUGAAGCAAAAAGUUGCGGUUCUCUCCAUUUUUGUAUUUCCCGAACUCAUUGUUGUCCGAAACUAGCUUGCCUGC
rnacentral:lncRNA from 1 species